GACGAACGCUGGCGGCGUGCCUAAUACAUGCAAGUCGAGCGAGUCUGCCUUGAAGAUCGGAGUGCUUGCACUCUGUGAAACAAGAUACAGGCUAGCGGCGGACGGGUGAGUAACACGUGGGUAACCUGCCCAAGAGAUCGGGAUAACACCUGGAAACAGAUGCUAAUACCGGAUAACAACAGAUGAUGCCUAUCAACUGUUUAAAAGAUGGUUCUGCUAUCACUCUUGGAUGGACCUGCGGUGCAUUAGCUAGUUGGUAGGGUAACGGCCUACCAAGGCGAUGAUGCAUAGCCGAGUUGAGGGACUGAUCGGCCACAUUGGGACUGAGACACGGCCCAAACUCCUACGGGAGGCAGCAGUAGGGAAUCUUCCACAAUGGACGCAAGUCUGAUGGAGCAACGCCGCGUGAGUGAAGAAGGGUUUCGGCUCGUAAAGCUCUGUUGUUGGUGAAGAAGGACAGGGGUAGUAACUGACCUUUGUUUGACGGUAAUCAAUUAGAAAGUCACGGCUAACUACGUG
rnacentral:rRNA from 1 species